UAAUGGUAGUAAGAAGCAGGGGAUAUAUAUAUAUAUAUAUAUAUAUGUGUGUGUGUGUGUGUGUGUGUGUGUGUGUGUGUGUGUAUCCCCUGCUUCUUACUACCACUA